CUCAGCAGCCGCGGUAAUACAGAGGGUGCUAGCGUUAAUCGGAUUUACUGGGCGUAAAGCGUGCGUAGGUGGUUUGAUAAGUCGAUUGUGAAAGCCCCGGGCUCAACCUGGGAAUUGCGGUCGAUACUGUCAGACUCGAAAACGGUAGAGGGAGGUGGAACUCCAGGUGUAGCGGUGAAAUGCGUAGAUAUCUGGAAGAACACCGAUGGCGAAGGCAGCCUCCUGGGCCUGUUUUGACACUGAGGCACGAAAGCGUGGGUAGCAAACAGGAUUAGAUACCCUGGUAGUCCACGCCGUAAACRAUNANAACUUGACGUUGGUUUGCUUANCAAAUCGGUGUCGUARCUAACNCRAUAAGUUCUCCGCCUGGG
rnacentral:rRNA from 1 species